GUGUGACUGCGUACCUUUUGUAUAAUGGGUCAGCGACUUAUAUUCUGUAGCAAGGUUAACCGAAUAGGGGAGCCGGAGGGAAACCGAGUCUUAACCGGGCGUUAAGUUGCAGGGUAUAGACCCGAAACCCGGUGAUCUAGCCAUGGGCAGGUUGAAGGUUGGGUAACACUAACUGGAGGACCGAACCGACUAAUGUUGAAAAAUUAGCGGAUGACCUGUGGCUGGGGGUGAAAGGCCAAUCAAACCGGGAGAUAGCUGGUUCUCCCCGAAAGCUAUUUAGGUAGCGCCUCGUGAAUUCAUCUCCGGGGGUAGAGCACUGUUUCGGCUAGGGGGCCAUCCCGGCUUACCAACCCGAUGCAAACUGCGAAUACCGGAGAAUGUUAUCACGGGAGACACACGGCGGGUGCUAACGUCCGUCGUGAAGAGGGAAACAACCCAGACCGCCAGCUAAGGUCCCAAAGUCAUGGUUAAGUGGGAAACGAUGUGGGAAGGCCCAGACAGCCAGGAUGUUGGCUUAGAAGCAGCCAUCAUUUAAAGAAAGCGUAAUAGCUCACUGGUCGAGUCGGCCUGCGCGGAAGAUGUAACGGGGCUAAACCAUGCACCGAAGCUGCGGCAGCGACACUCAGGUGUUGUUGGGUAGGGGAGCGUUCUGUAAGCCUGUGAAGGUGUGCUGUGAGGCAUGCUGGAGGUAUCAGAAGUGCGAAUGCUGACAUAAGUAACGAUAAAGCGGGUGAAAAGCCCGCUCGCCGGAAGACCAAGGGUUCCUGUCCAACGUUAAUCGGGGCAGGGUGAGUCGACCCCUAAGGCGAGGCCGAAAGGCGUAGUCGAUGGGAAACGGGUUAAUAUUCCCGUACUUGGUGUUACUGCGAAGGGGGGACGGAGAAGGCUAUGUUGGCCGGGCGACGGUUGUCCCGGUUUAAGCGUGUAGGUGUGUGUUCCAGGUAAAUCCGGUUCACUUUAACACUGAGGCGUGACGACGAGGCACUACGGUGCUGAAGCAACAAAUGCCCUGCUUCCAGGAAAAGCCUCUAAGCAUCAGGUAACAUCAAAUCGUACCCCAAACCGACACAGGUGGUCAGGUAGAGAAUACCAAGGCGCUUGAGAGAACUCGGGUGAAGGAACUAGGCAAAAUGGUGCCGUAACUUCGGGAGAAGGCACGCUGACAUGUAGGUGAAGUGAUUUACUCAUGGAGCUGAAGUCAGUCGAAGAUACCAGCUGGCUGCAACUGUUUAUUAAAAACACAGCACUGUGCAAACACGAAAGUGGACGUAUACGGUGUGACGCCUGCCCGGUGCCGGAAGGUUAAUUGAUGGGGUCAGCGCAAGCGAAGCUCCUGAUCGAAGCCCCGGUAAACGGCGGCCGUAACUAUAACGGUCCUAAGGUAGCGAAAUUCCUUGUCGGGUAAGUUCCGACCUGCACGAAUGGCGUAAUGAUGGCCAGGCUGUCUCCACCCGAGACUCAGUGAAAUUGAACUCGCUGUGAAGAUGCAGUGUACCCGCGGCAAGACGGAAAGACCCCGUGAACCUUUACUAUAGCUUGACACUGAACAUUGAGCCUUGAUGUGUAGGAUAGGUGGGAGGCUUUGAAGUGUGGACGCCAGUCUGCAUGGAGCCGACCUUGAAAUACCACCCUUUAAUGUUUGAUGUUCUAACGUGGACCCGUGAUCCGGGUUGCGGACAGUGUCUGGUGGGUAGUUUGACUGGGGCGGUCUCCUCCUAAAGAGUAACGGAGGAGCACGAAGGUUGGCUAAUCCUGGUCGGACAUCAGGAGGUUAGUGCAAUGGCAUAAGCCAGCUUGACUGCGAGCGUGACGGCGCGAGCAGGUGCGAAAGCAGGUCAUAGUGAUCCGGUGGUUCUGAAUGGAAGGGCCAUCGCUCAACGGAUAAAAGGUACUCCGGGGAUAACAGGCUGAUACCGCCCAAGAGUUCAUAUCGACGGCGGUGUUUGGCACCUCGAUGUCGGCUCAUCACAUCCUGGGGCUGAAGUAGGUCCCAAGGGUAUGGCUGUUCGCCAUUUAAAGUGGUACGCGAGCUGGGUUUAGAACGUCGUGAGACAGUUCGGUCCCUAUCUGCCGUGGGCGCUGGAGAACUGAGGGGGGCUGCUCCUAGUACGAGAGGACCGGAGUGGACGCAUCACUGGUGUUCGGGUUGUCAUGCCAAUGGCACUGCCCGGUAGCUAAAUGCGGAAGAGAUAAGUGCUGAAAGCAUCUAAGCACGAAACUUGCCCCGAGAUGAGUUCUCCCUGAGACUU
rnacentral:rRNA from 1 species